rnacentral:lncRNA from 1 species
GUUUAUUUCAAGUCAAUAGACACCAUUUACAUGUCACUGCUCACUUUAUUUCCACAAUUGAAAAUGAGAUUAAACUUCACUCAAAGAAGUCAUUGCUAACAGAGGGAAAAGGCAGAAUCGUCAAGGAGAUCUCACAGAGGAGAAGGCAACUAAGCACCCAGACUGAAACACUUAAAUUGAAACAGCAGUAAACCACAUAAUCAGCCAUUCAAAAUGAAACCGUCAAUUUCAGCCAUACUCAUUAAAAUUUUCACUCUAAAUUUUUUUUUAAGAGAGAGACAGAGAGAAUUUUAAUAUUUAUUUUUUAGUUAUCGGCGGACACAACAUCUUUGUUUGUAUGUGGUACUGAGGAUCGAACCCGGGCCGCACGCAUGCCAGGCGAGUGCGCUACCACUUGAGCCACAUCCCCAGCCCAGCCACAUCCCCAGCCCUUCACUCUACAUUUAUUUGAAUAUUUCAAAACUCUAAGUUGAAGAUGAAUAUCAGGUUAGCAGGAGAGAUUGUACCUAUUCUGAUUUUAUCAAGUUAGUCAACAAUGGGGAAGUACCAUGUAAGUUGUGUAGAAAUGGUUACUAUUUAUUGAAACUACUGUCAGCCUCAUUCACAGGCUGAACCUUAACCUUUAUGUCAGUCAAGUGCUGUGUGUAAGAAUGUGCAGAGGAGGCACAGCUAUCUUUUAAGUGAUUUCCAUUAAAUAAGAAGGUUUAUACCUUUCAAAAUCUUAUAUGACCUCAAAAACUGCAGCCACUGUUUUAAUGGGUCACUUGUUUGUGAAGAGGACUUUGUGGAGAAUCUUGAUCAUUUAUCCUCUGAAUCAGAAAUCAUAAAUAUCUGGGUUGGGAUCAAAGGGUAUAUAGUC